rnacentral:rRNA from 1 species
GUGCGUGGCCAUACCUCCCUGAUCGCGCGGGAUCUCAUCUGAUCUCGCGAAGCUAAGCCGGUUCGGGCCUGGUUAGUACUUGGGUGCGAGAGACGACCCGAAAUACUGUGCAGUCGCUGAGU